UCUGAAUAGAGUCUGAAGAGU
rnacentral:miRNA from 1 species